GCCUGCAAGUGAGAUAGCUCAGUUUGUAGAGCAUGAGACUCUUAACCUCAAGACCACGGGUUCGAGGCCCACGUGGGGCA